GAUGAAGAACGUAGUGAAAUGCGAUAAGUAGUGUGAAUUGCAGAAUUCAGUGAAUCAUCGAAUCUUUGAACGCACAUUGCGCCCGUCAGUAUUCUGGCGGGCAUGCCUGUUCGAGCGUCAUUACGCCCCUCAAGUCCCCUGUGGACUCGGUGUUGGGGAUCGGCGAGGCUGGUUUUCCAGCACAGCCGUCCCUUAAAUUAAUUGGCGGUCUCGCCGUGGCCCUCCUCUGCGCAGUAGUAAAACACUCGCAACAGGAGCCCGGCGCGGUCCACUGCCGUAAAACCCCCCAACUUUUUAUAGUUGACCUCGAAUCAGGUAGGACUACCCGCUGAACUUAAGCAUAUCAAUAAGCGGAGGA
rnacentral:misc_RNA from 1 species